AGUGGCGAACGGGUGAGUAACGCGUGAGUAUCUGCCCUUAGGAGGGGGACAACAGUUGGAAACGACUGCUAAUACCCCAUAUGUCUACGGAUGAAAGAUUUUAUCGCCUGAGGAUGAGUUCGCGUCUGAUUAGCUAGUUGGUGAGGUAAAGGCUCACCAAGGCGACGAUCAGUAGCUGGUCUGAGAGGAUGAUCAGCCACACUGGGACUGAGACACGGCCCAGACUCCUACGGGAGGCAGCAGUGGGGAAUUUUCCGCAAUGGGGGCAACCCUGACGGAGCAAUACCGCGUGCGGGAGGACGGCCUGUGGGUUGUAAACCGCUUUUCUCAGGGAAGAAGACCUGACGGUACCUGAGGAAUCAGCAUCUGCUAACUCCGUGCCAGCAGCCGCGGUAAUACGGAGGAUGCAAGCGUUAUCCGGAAUUAUUGGGCGUAAAGCGUCCGUAGGUGGUUAAUCAAGUCUGCUGUUAAAGAGCGGAGCUCAACUCCGUUUAAGCGGUGGAAACUGGUUGACUAGAUAGUGGUAGGGGUAGAGGGAAUUCCCAGUGUAGCGGUGAAAUGCGUAGAUAUUGGGAAGAACACCGGUGGCGAAAGCGCUCUACUGGGCCACAUCUGACACUGAUGGACGAAAGCUAGGGGAGCGAAAGGGAUUAGAUACCCC
rnacentral:rRNA from 1 species